GGGAGGAGCAGGUCCCGCCACCGGGAUGCUCCGCGCCGGGCGAGCCGGAGGAUGGAGCGGGUGCCGCGGCUCAGAGCUGGACAGGCGCUAUGUGUAGGGACCUUCUCUGGAAGAAGUGGGUCACUCCCAGAGUGAAAAGGAGUUGCACAAGAUGAGCUUUUCUGGACAGCCAAAUGGUGCCAAUGGCUGCACUGGAGUAACUGGUACAACACUGGCUUAGAUCAGCCCCAUCACCAAGCCUGGGCUUUGAUCAGGACUUUUCUGCAAGAAGAAACAUCUCUAGACAAUAAAUUUGCCUCUGCACUUGC